GACGUAGGGUCCAAGCGUUGUUCGGAUUCAUUGGGCGUAAAGGGUGUGUAGGUGGCGCGCUAAGUCGGGUGUGAAAUUUCGGAGCUUAACUCCGAAACUGCAUUCGAUACUGGCGUGCUUGAGGACUGGAGAGGAGACUGGAAUUCAUGGUGUAGCAGUGAAAUGCGUAGAGAUCAUGAGGAAGACCAGUGGCGAAGGCGGGUCUCUGGACAGUUCCUGACACUGAGACACGAAGGCCAGGGGAGCAAACGGG
rnacentral:rRNA from 1 species